rnacentral:tRNA from 1 species
GUUACUGUGGUGUAAUGGUCAGCAUGUUCGCCUCGCAAGCGAGGGGACCCGGGUUCGAUCCCCGGGUAGGGUGAAACU